rnacentral:rRNA from 1 species
UACCGAGGGUGCAAGCGUUGUUCGGAAUUCUUGGGCGUAAAGCGCGUGGAGGCGGCUUUGCAAGUCGGGUGGGAAAGCCCUCAGCUUAACUGAGGAAGUGCGCCCGAAACUGCUUGGCUUGAGGACCGGAGAGGAUGGCGGAAUUCCCCAAGUAGAGGUGGAAUUCGUAGAUAUGGGGAGGAACACCAGUGGCGAAGGCGGCGAUCUGGGAAGAUACUGACGCUGAGGUGCGAAAGCGUGGGGAGCAAACAGA